GACGAACGCUGGCGGCGUGCUUAACACAUGCAAGUCGAACGGAAAGGCCCUGCUUUUGUGGGGUGCUCGAGUGGCGAACGGGUGAGUAACCCGUGAGUAACCUGCCCUUGACUUUGGGAUAACUUCAGGCAACUGGGGCUAAUACCGGAUAGGAGCUCCUGCUGCAUGGUGGGGGUUGGAAAGUUUCGGCGGUUGGGGAUGGACUCGCGGCUUAUCAGCUUGUUGGUGGGGUAGUGGCUUACCAAGGCUUUGACGGGUAGCCGGCCUGAGAGGGUGACCGGCCACAUUGGGACUGAGAGACGGCCCAGACUCCUACGGGAGGCAGCAGUGGGGAAUAUUGCACAAUGGGCGGAAGCCUGAUGCAGCAACGCCGCGUGCGGGAUGACGGCCUUCGGGUUGUAAACCGCUUUCGCCUGUGACGAAGCGUGAGUGACGGUAAUGGGUAAAGAAGCACCGGCUAACUACGUG
rnacentral:rRNA from 1 species